rnacentral:rRNA from 1 species
UACGUAGGGGGCAAGCGUUGUCCGGAAUUAUUGGGCGUAAAGAGCUCGUAGGCGGUCUGUCGCGUCGGUCGUGAAAACUUGGGGCUUAACCCUGAGCUUGCGGUCGAUACGGGCAUGACUGGAGUUCGGCAGGGGAGACUGGAAUUCCUGGUGUAGCGGUGAAAUGCGCAGAUAUCAGGAGGAACACCGGUGGCGAAGGCGGGUCUCUGGGCCGAUACUGACGCUGAGGAGCGAAAGCGUGGGGAGCAAACAGG